rnacentral:rRNA from 1 species
UGAGGAAUAUUGGACAAUGGAUGGAAAUCUGAUCCAGCCAUGCCGCGUGCAGGAAGACGGCCCUAUGGGUUGUAAACUGCUUUUGUAUGGGAGCAAUAAGGACUACGUGUAGUUUGAUGAGAGUACCAUACGAAUAAGCACCGGCUAACUACGUGCCAGCAGCCGCGGUAAUACGUAGGGUGCGAGCGUUAAUCGGAAUUACUGGGCGUAAAGCGUGCGCAGGCGGUCUUGCAAGACAGUGGUGAAAUCCCCGGGCUCAACCUGGGAACUGCCAUUGUGACUGCAAGGCUGGAGUACGGCAGAGGGGGAUGGAAUUCCGCGUGUAGCAGUGAAAUGCGUAGAUAUGCGGAGGAACACAGAUGGCGAAGGCAGUCCCCUGGGCCUGUACUGACGCUCAUGCACGAAAGCGUGGGGAGCAAAC